rnacentral:rRNA from 1 species
AACGAACGCUGGCGGCAGGCUUAACACAUGCAAGUCGAGCGCCUCGCAAGAGGAGCGGCAGACGGGUGAGUAACGCGUGGGAACGUACCCUUAUCUUCGGAAUAGCUCUGGGAAACUGGAAGUAAUACCGAAUGUGCCCUUAGGGGGAAAGAUUUAUCGGAUAAGGAUCGGCCCGCGUUGGAUUAGCUAGUUGGUGGGGUAAAGGCCUACCAAGGCGACGAUCCAUAGCUGGUCUGAGAGGAUGAUCAGCCACAUUGGGACUGAGACACGGCCCAAACUCCUACGGGAGGCAGCAGUGGGGAAUAUUGGACAAUGGGCGCAAGCCUGAUCCAGCCAUGCCGCGUGAGUGAUGAAGGCCUUAGGGUUGUAAAGCUCUUUCACCGGAGAAGAUAAGGACGGUAUCCGGAGAAGAAGCCCCGGCUAACUUCGU